CCGGUCGUCAUUUGUACGUGCGAGUUUUCGACGAGUGUGUGUGUAAAAAUAGAAUAGAUUUUUUGGUUAAAGAAUCAGCCUCGCAAGAACGUUUUUAAUUGGCAUAUAAAAAAAGAGCAGAAGUUACUACUCCGCACACACACCGCAAUUAACAAAAUGGCCGAUAAAAUAGUCGACAGUGAAAUGAACGGUGAAGACUUCACCAAGGAUGUGACCACCAAUGACGUGCCCACCCCCACUGCUACCGAAAAUGGUGAUGCGGCGGCAGCUUCAGCUACCGGCUCCAACAAUAGCAAUAGCAACGGCAGCAACUCUGAAAGCGGUGCCGUAGUCAACCAGCGUGAUGACGACAGAAAACUUUUUGUUGGCGGCCUUAGCUGGGAAACUACUGAGAAGGAACUCCGCGAUCAUUUUGGUAAAUUUGGCGAUAUUGAUAGCAUCAACGUUAAAACAGAUCCCCAGACUGGACGUUCUCGUGGAUUUGCCUUCAUCGUAUUCACCAACACCGAGGCUAUUGAUAAAGUUAGUUCUGCGGAAGAACAUGUCAUUAACGGCAAGAAAGUCGAUCCCAAAAAGGCAAAGGCACGCCAUGGCAAAAUCUUUGUGGGUGGCUUGACUACUGAAAUCAGUGAUGAGGAAAUCAGAACUUAUUUCAGUCAAUUCGGCACGAUUGUUGAGGUUGAGAUGCCAUUCGACAAGCAAAAGUCACAGCGCAAAGGAUUCUGCUUUAUUACCUUCGAUUCAGAGCAGGUUGUCACCGAUUUGCUAAAGACACCGAAACAGAAAAUCUCUGGCAAGGAGGUGGAUGUUAAGAGAGCCACUCCAAAACCUGAAAAUCAAAUGAUGGGCAUGCGUGGUGGUCCGCGUGGCGGUAUGCGUGGAGGACGCGGUGGCUACGGACGUGGUGGCUACAAUAACCAAUGGGACGGACAGGGUUCGUACUAUGGCGGAUAUGGUGCUGGUGGUUAUGGUGCAGGCGGCUACGGUGAUUACUAUACCGGUGGCUACUAUAACGGAUAUGACUACGGUUAUGGCGGCGGCGGUUUUAAUGGUGGGGGCAAACAGCGAGGCACGGGACGUCAGCCAAGACAUCAACCCUACUAAGUAAAAGAUACAUCAAUAUAUAUGUUUAUAUAUAUAUCUAUAUCUAUAUAAUAUAUAUUGGGGACAUUCUCGACAGAAAUAACUACAAACUAUUUGAAUUUUUGCUUAGUUUAGUUUGUUAUGCAUCUAACUACAAUACAACACACCUCUAAAUACAUAUAUCCAAAAAGAAAAGAAAAGAACAGAAUAAACAACACAAAUAUAUAUAA
rnacentral:misc_RNA from 1 species